rnacentral:lncRNA from 1 species
AUAGCAGUUGGGAAUCUAUUAUCUUUUUGUGUCCAGUUUUAAUGUUGAUUUAACCAGCAUAUUAGGUCAUGAAGAAGUCAUUCAUGACUUUAUAUAUAAGUUGUGAUUCACUUAUAAACUUUAUGAAUAUUAGGUUGACAGUGGACCAUGCAGAAAUAUCAUUUUCCAUAUCAUUCAUUUUUUAUAGUAUUUGAAAUCCAUUGACUUUUUAUGUCCACUUUUAAUGCUGAUUAUACUUAAUAUUGAUUUAACUAGCAUAUGUCACAAUAAUAAUAUUGUCAUGGCAGUGUGAUGUCACAUCUGUAUGACUAUCAUCAUCCCAAAUUUGAAGGAUUUAAAUGAAUGCUUUUUCACUGCUACCCCAAAAUAUCCCUUUGUUGCCUGCAGGAAGUCUCUGUGCAUAGUUUGGCCCUGAGAAGUAAAUGAUUCAGGAGUCUUUGUGGAAUAAACAGACAAACAUUGCAUUUUAUUUAAUUGAUAACAAAGCAAAUCAGUAUAUUCAGUCUCUGAUUAAACAUUUCUAAUUGACCACAGUCUGGACAGAAGGUAUGCUAGACUAUCAGAAGUUUAAUUAUUAAUAAAUGAUUAAAUUCUAUAAUCAUCAGUUGAUUUUAGGAAUGUGAGAUCAAUGGACAAAAUGGACAGGCAUUAGACCUUGUUGCAAUGAAUGGUACUCUGCAAGUACGGUUGGGUGAUGAGGCUAGAUUUUGUGAAACAGAGAUCACGGUUUAAAAAACCAAUAACUUCCUUUAUUAAAAUAUUAGAGAAUUCUUUACAAGGUACUAUCCCAGCAAUUCAUAGGAAGAAUACCUCUGGGUUGAGGAAUAAUCCAGAUGAUAAAAAAAUUCAGCUUUGCUUGCACAACAGUACGGUGUCGGAACAAGGAUGAGAUUGACAUUGGCUUCAUUGACGAUGGAAAUGAACAGUGGAGAUAAACAGUGAAUAUGAAC